UCCGAAGUAGCUCAGUGGUAGAGCAAUCGGCUGUUAACCGAUUGGUCGUAGGUUCGAGUCCUACCUUCGGAGCC
rnacentral:tRNA from 1 species